rnacentral:lncRNA from 1 species
CACUUGCUUACAUCAAACAACACAGUAAUGCUAGUUACCCUAUGACCCCCCAAAGUCCCAGAAGCAAUACUAACUCUGAGGUCUGUGCAGUUGGCCACCUUGGAGCCCUCCCCACCCCUGCGGUGCGGUCUGGGUUCUCUGGUCCUGAACCCCCUCCCCUGCGGACCGGAGGAGGGACCUCGGGCCGCUGGGCCGGGCCAGGUCCUGUCUCCGCGCCACCGCCAGGGUCCCGGUGCGGAGGUCGCCCCGAAGGCGUGCGAGUAACUCUGGCUUUGGCUGGGUGUCCCCGGCCCACGUCACCUGUUUGACAGCCUCACACCAAAUCAGAGGGCAGCUCUGGCCGGGAGCCCCCGCUCGUCACCCGAGCUCCCGCGGAUUAGAACUCGCCUCUCCUGACUCCUCCCUGCGGUCCCAUUUAAAUCUCCCUCUGCCUUUGGGGAUAAGUUAGCGCGCGCCUCCGUUUCUGCAUUGCUGACUUUCACCGCAAGAUGAACACCAUUCUACCUUGCCAAGACCAGUAUUUUUCAGGAGGCCAAAAUUAUAAUUGCCCGUUAUCCACCGCGACGUCAGAACCUAGUGUUGACGUUUCCACGGAGACUUGGGUCUCUUUCUGGGCUGCUGGUCUCCUGGACAACAGUGAGCCCCAACAAGCACCACAGGCACAGGAACCAGCCUGUGACUUGAAUUUUCCUGUUCCGGAUUCCUGUUCGUGGGAAGAAGCACAGCUCUCCUCGCAGCUCUACCGAAACAAGCAGCUCCAAGAUACUCUCAUACAGAAGGAAGAAGAACUUGCUAGGCUACACGAAGAGAAUAAUCACCUCAGACAAUAUCUGAAUUCUACUUUGGUUAAAUGCCUUGAAGAAAAGGCCAAGAAAUUGCUUUCCUCAGAUGAGUUCUCCAAAGCAUGUGGAAAAUUCAGAAAGGGGAAGAGGAAACCUAGAGAGCACAGAUACUCUCCUGCUGAGACUCCCCACCCCAAAAAUGCCAAGCGGAAUCUCUCAAGCGAGUUUGCUAAUCAGCCAGAGCAACCUGGGCCCCCUGUGGAUGCCUGGGUCCUUCAGACGCUUGGGUUGAAAGACUUUAACACCAUUGACGAUGCCAGAUCAGCUAACUGCAGUGCCCUCUCCGCUCCUCCUCAAGGGGUCACCAGUACCUAUUCCCACUUUCUGGGUGAAGCGGUUGACUAUGAAAAUGUCCCCAGAGACAACCUGCCCCACGACUAUGAAGGUGAAAGAGCAGCCCUGCUGCACCGUACUGCCAGCCCCGGGGAAGAUCUUCACUACUUUUCUCAGCCUCCCCAUCCCCCGGUGAGGGUCCCAGUGCUUCCUUAUCACGACGCGGAUGUGUCACCCAACAAGACAGAGGUGGCCUUUUCCGCGUCACUGAGCCCUCACUGCAAUGUGAAGACUCAUUCCUUUCACCAGGGACAAGCUUUCGUGCGCAGAGACGAAGAGGGAGGCUGGAGGUUUACUUGGGUCCCGAAGCAGUCACAGUGACCCUUGUGGUGAAGCGCAGAGCAGGGCCACAAACUCCGCCUCCCAGGACAAUCUCUUGCACUUGAAUAUGUCCGUGUGGAACACCGAAGCUAUCGUCCACAGUCUCUCCUGCUGUUGUAAAAGUUACUCACGGUUACCUGUUUCGUUCUGUAGGGAAUGGCUUCCAAGACUUUAUAAGGAGAGGUAUCUUCUCCUCUUUCACCUAAGUUUGGUUUGUUUACACACUCGUACCUACAGUGGACUUCCUCUCUUUGCCUUAUACUUGAAACAAUAGUUUCCGAUCAUUGAGGGGUUUCAAAUUUUAGAUUUACUUUUCCAGCUGUGACCAGUUUAACAGCUUUUCUUCAUUCAUCGAACAAUUUAUUGUUCAUCGCCCUUUCAUUUUUUUCUGCCUUUUCUGUUCCUCUGUUCUUGCUGAAUAUUGCCUUUAGAAUGAACCCUGGUUUGGUCCAAAUAGUUGGUUAGUGCUCAAAUAGCUGGGGUAGGGUACACACGAGUAUCUGUUCAUCAUCCACACUUCAGAAGACACUGUGUGGACGUGAGGGCCCCUAUGUCCAGGGCAGUUGGAAACGGUGAAUGUCCCAUAGUGGCACAGGGAAAAUAUUUCUUAAACCAACCAUAACGUCCCUAAAAAUCAAUGCCAUUGCUAAAUUAUAAGUUACUUUGAAAAUGCCCCACUGUAUAUCAGCUUGUACUAGCACUUGACAUCUUUUUUGCUUAAUCAGAAUGGCUCAAGUAGGUUAAUUUUUGAGUAAUAGUGGUGACAAAGCAAGUCACCACCUUAAUCUACACAGAUACUGUCAGACAAACUAUUAUUCCUCGAAGCGUAGUCUUGCGUAGCUGGGCUACGAAUAUGAUUGUACUCAUUUGAUCCUGUAUGCCUCCAUCCACCAUCUCACUGGACAGAUCUGUAGAACGCCUCGUAUUUACACUCUGUGCCAGGCACCGUGCUAUGGGAAGGGGAUAAGCUGUGAGUGAUCCAGACCCUGUGCCCCCACUCAUGAAACCUGGAGCAGUUUCUCCACUCUCCACCUUGAGAAAGCUGCUUCCCUUGUGUGGAAGUUCAGUUUUCCUAGAUGAAUAAGGCAGUAGGGUGAGAUGAUGAGUCACACCCUGUGAAUGCAGACAGGAUCACCUCAGCUUCACUCUAGGGGUAGGAAUUCCAGGCCACCCUUCCCUGUUGUUUUCAUAAGAACCUCGGCUACUAUGUAGGGUGAACUUUACAUGCCAUUUUUAAAAAACGUGAGCCAUUUGUAGUUAGCAUUAGAAAUCUUCUCUUCCUACAGCAUUCUUGUUGCUACUAGGAGUUCAUUUUCUCGAUCAAUUGAGUCUGUGUGAAGGUAACUUACAUCUGAAAUAGAUGUAUAUUAAUUUUUAAGUAAGUGUUCAUAGAUUGAAAGUAACUAUUGAUAUCAAGGGUUCUUCCUUUUCUAAAUUUAACAAAAAUGUUUUUUAUUUUUUGUUUUUGUUUUUGUUUUUUUGAGAUAGGUUCUCACUAUGUAGUUGAGACGGCCCUGGAACUCACUGUGUAGCCCAGGCUGGUCUCAAACUCACAGAGAUCCUCCUGCCUUAGCCUCCCGAGUGCUGGGAAGGUGUGUGCCACCAUGUCUGGCUACAAAAAUGUAUUCUUUUUUUUUCAGCUUUAAUUGAGUUUAUUGGUACAUUUUAGGGAUACAGUACAGUUACAUUCAUUGUUGGGGUCUUGUACCUUUACAUGACAGGUCUUGGUUCUCAUUUUUAAGGGAGAGCAGGCACAAGGGGAAAAAAUGAGAACAAAGGGCAAAAAUGUAUUCUUCAUGCUCCUGCUAGUCCUUCUCUCCCCUCCCUAAAGCUCCCUACCGUUCCCAAGAGAAAUUACACAUCAAUGAUGUGCACCUGUGCUUUUCAGACCAACCCCAUUUAAUGAUGAAGCCAACCAUGGUGAACCCUACUUCCAAUUUUAUCUUUCCCAUUUCCUGUCAACUUACCUUGCAUGGUUGAAAUUUCAUAUGUGUAUUGCUUGGAAUUCUAACAGACAUUCCUGUUUUUGUUUGUUUUUGCUCUUCAUAGUUUCUUUACUUUGGUCAUGUGAACAAAGUAGCUAUUUAAUUUUUUUUUUU